GAUUCCCUCAGUAACUGCGAGUGAACAGGGAAAAGCCCAGCACCGAAGCCUGUGGCCGUUUGGCUACUAGGCAAUGUGGUGUUUAGGUCGUUCCUUGGGGGCGCUGCCUCACUCCAAGUCCAGCAAUGAGUACGGUAAUAUUGACUUGGCCCAGAGAGGGUGAAAGGCCCGUGGGAGUGAGGUCGCAGAAAUGUCAGUGCCUUCCUGGAUAGACCUUGGAGUCGGGUUGUUUGUGAAUGCAGCCCAAAGUGGGUGGUAAACUCCAUCCAAGGCUAAAUACUAACACGAGUCCGAUAGCGAACAAGUACCGUGAGGGAAAGUUGAAAAGUACUUUGAAGAGAGAGUAAACAGUGCGUGAAACCGCUCAGAGGUAAACGGGUGGAGUUGAACUGUGAUCUCUGUGGAUUUAGCUGGUGAGUAUGGUUUGAGCUUGGUCAAAUUGGUUGUAUUCUGGAAUCUGCUUAGCCGCAGGUCCUUGCCUUCGGGUUGGGAUGCGCGAGGCACUCAUCAGGUGUUGCGCGUUUCAGGUUUUUCGUGCCAGCUCGCCAGUGCACUUUCGCAGAGUGUUCACCACGACCGGCAUUGCUGUCCGGCUGUUGUGGUUAAACCGGCCUUUCUUUGUCCUUGCGGCAUUGAAUUGUCGGGAUGGCAGGUAGCUCAAUUGCUGGGCCUGUGGUUCGCUGCAGGUUUUCGGCUCUCGGGUGUUAUCUAGCUGACCGCAUCGGUUCUGUGCAGUAUGUCGGAGACGGCGGCUUGUGGUACAUGCGUGCGUACUAGCUUGUUACCGGCUUCGGGUUUGGUUAUUAUGUUGCUUGUGUUUACAGGCCUGGUGAUAGCCCGUUGUCGUUUGGUUGGCAGUAGCGUGCGUAGUGCUUCCAGGGCCAAUAGUCUGU
rnacentral:rRNA from 1 species